GUAGGUGGCAAGCGUUGUCCGGAAUUAUUGGGCGUAAAGACGCGCGCAGGCGGUUCGUUUAAGUCUGAUGUGAAAGCCCACGGCGUCAACCGUGGAGGGUCAUUGGAAACUGGAGAACUUGAGUACAGAAGAGGAAAGCGGAAUUCCACGUGUAGCGGUGAAAUGCGUAGAGAUGUGGAGGAACACCAGUGGCGAAGGCGGCUUUCUGGUCUGUAACUGACGCUGAGGCGCGAAAGCGUGGGGAGCAAACAGGAUUAGAUACCCUGGUAGUCCACGCCGUAAACGAUGAGUGCUAAGUGUUAGGGGGUUUCCGCCCCUUAGUGCUGCAGCUAACGCAUUAAGCACUCCGCCUGGGGAGUACGGCCGCAAAGGCUG
rnacentral:rRNA from 1 species